rnacentral:lncRNA from 1 species
UUCAUUGCCAUAGAUAGUAAGGGAACAUCAUACAUAUUUUGGGUCCUAAGGGAGAUCUCAUGCGACCGACAAAUAAGCUAGACAAAAGUGAAAUGAAUAGAGCAAGUCUGUAUAGCUAACGCAUUCAUAGUCGAGACCGAAUGAACAUCAAAUUACUUCAAACAAAACGAGAAAGAAAUUCAUCCAACAUUUUUGACAAUAAAAUGAAAUAAACUUACAGCAAGAAAACUCAAACUCUUAACUAACGAAUCCCGGACUUGAAUCAUACACCAAAGAAUACAUUUUUACCUUCAACAGCUAAAGAGCUAAGACAUUAAA